rnacentral:rRNA from 1 species
AACGAACGCUGGCGGCGUGCCUAACACAUGCAAGUCGCGCGAGAAAGGGGCUUCGGCUCCGAGUAAAGCGGCGCACGGGUGCGUAACACGUGGAUAAUCUGCCUUCGGGUCCGGGAUAGCCUUCCGAAAGGAGGGCUAAUACCGAAUAAGCCCACGGGAGCCUUGGCUCCUGAGGGAAAGCUGGCCUCUGUUUACAAGCUAGCGCCGGAAGAUGAGUCCGCGGCCCAUCAGCUAGUUGGCGGGGUAAUGGCCCACCAAGGCAACGACGGGUAGCUGGUCUGAGAGGACGAUCAGCCACACUGGAACUGAGACACGGGUCCAGACUCCUACGGGGAGGCAGCAGUGGGGAAUCUUGCGCAAUGGGCGAAAGCCUGACGCAGCAACGCCGCGUGAGUGAUGAAGGUCUUCGGAUCG